GUUGUGACACAUUCAUUCUGCAGUGCAGCAAACAAUGAGACGAUGAUUGUGUUUAUUUUUGCUCCUGGACAAGUAGCAUCCCAUUCAGGCAAUGGGUUUGAAGCACGGCCUCCACAAGGAUCAGCCGGCACGGUUCAACUUGGCCCGAACUCACCAUGAUCUGCUGAAAUACGGCUUUGAUUUAAUAGCUUUUGUUGAAGAUGUAGUUCAUCUCCAUAUCAAAGAUGGUAGCAUCCAGCAAUUUACCUGUCAACCUCUUCUCGAUACACAAGCAAUUUUUCAUAUAAAAGAGGAACUUACUGGAGCAGUGGUCUAUCAUUAUGCAGUGCUGGGAAGGAGGAGAAUCUGCACAGCUCUGAAGCCCUCCAGCAGAGGAACAGACAAAAAGGCUUCAUGCCCUG
rnacentral:lncRNA from 1 species